rnacentral:rRNA from 1 species
ACGGAGGGUGCGAGCGUUGUCCGGAAUCAUUGGGCGUAAAGAGUUCGUAGGCGGCAUGUAAAGUCAGGUGUUAAAGGCUGAGGCUCAACCUCAGUAUGGCACUUGAUACUUGCAAGCUAGAAUGCGGUAGAGGUAAAGGGAAUUCCUGGUGUAGCGGUGAAAUGCUUAGAUAUCAGGAGGAACAUCGGUGGCGUAAGCGCUUUACUGGGCCGUAAUUGACGCUGAGGAACGAAAGCCAGGGUAGCAAAUGG